rnacentral:rRNA from 1 species
CACGUAGGGCGCAAGCGUUGUCCGGAAUUACUGGGCGUAAAGGGCGCGUAGGCGGCCUUCUAAGUCGAACGUGAAAUCCCCGGGCUCAACCCGGGAACUGCGUCCGAUACUGGAAGGCUUGAAUCCGGGAGAGGGAUGCGGAAUUCCAGGUGUAGCGGUGAAAUGCGUAGAUAUCUGGAGGAACACCGGUGGCGAAGGCGGCAUCCUGGGCCAACACUGACGCUCAGGCACGAAAGCGUGGGGAGCAAACAGG